rnacentral:miRNA from 1 species
GCGAGAGAGAGAGAGAGAGAGAGAGAGAAAGAGAGAUGUAGCAAAGCGGAAGUAAAAAAAAUUUCUCUCUCAGGUGUUCCCCUGGAACGGUUUAACAACUUCAUUGCUGGGUGCUACAUGUUAAGCGCUAAAAAAGCAAAGAUGGGGGUUAGUAAAGGCAAGCAUACUCCUUGGUAGUUGCGCUCGCAAGUGCGCAAACUAUACUUUGUUAUUCCCUUUCUUCUUUAUCCCCUUCGC